CGCGUAGGCGGCCAUCUAAGUCAGACGUGAAAUCCCUCGGCUCAACCGAGGAACUGCGUCUGAUACUGGAAGGCUUGAAUCCGGGAGAGGGAUGUGGAAUUCCAGGUGUAGCGGUGAAAUGCGUAGAUAUCUGGAGGAACACCGGUGGCGAAGGCGGCAUCCUGGACCAACACUGACGCUGAGGAGCGAAAAGCUAGGGGAGCAACG
rnacentral:rRNA from 1 species